UACCCCGAGGAAAAGAAAUCAACCGAGAUUCCCCCAGUAGCGGCGAGCGAACGGGGAGGAGCCCAGAGCCUGAAUCAGUGUGUGUGUUAGUGGAAGCGUCUGGAAAGGCGCGCGAUACAGGGUGACAGCCCCGUACACAAAAAUGCACAUAUUGUGAGCUCGAUGAGUAGGGCGGGACACGUGGUAUCCUGUCUGAAUAUGGGGGGACCAUCCUCCAAGGCUAAAUACUCCUGACUGACCGAUAGUGAACCAGUACCGUGAGGGAAAGGCGAAAAGAACCCCGGCGAGGGGAGUGAAAAAGAACCUGAAACCGUGUACGUACAAGCAGUGGGAGCCUCUUAAUGGGGUGACUGCGUACCUUUUGUAUAAUGGGUCAGCGACUUAUAUUCUGUAGCAAGGUUAACCGAAUAGGGGAGCCGAAGGGAAACCGAGUCUUAACUGGGCGUUAAGUUGCAGGGUAUAGACCCGAAACCCGGUGAUCUAGCCAUGGGCAGGUUGAAGGUUGGGUAACACUAACUGGAGGACCGAACCGACUAAUGUUGAAAAAUUAGCGGAUGACUUGUGGCUGGGGGUGAAAGGCCAAUCAAACCGGGAGAUAGCUGGUUCUCCCCGAAAGCUAUUUAGGUAGCGCCUCGUGAAUUCAUCUCCGGGGGUAGAGCACUGUUUCGGCAAGGGGGUCAUCCCGACUUACCAACCCGAUGCAAACUGCGAAUACCGGAGAAUGUUAUCACGGGAGACACACGGCGGGUGCUAACGUCCGUCGUGAAGAGGGAAACAACCCAGACCGCCAGCUAAGGUCCCAAAGUCAUGGUUAAGUGGGAAACGAUGUGGGAAGGCCCAGACAGCCAGGAUGUUGGCUUAGAAGCAGCCAUCAUUUAAAGAAAGCGUAAUAGCUCACUGGUCGAGUCGGCCUGCGCGGAAGAUGUAACGGGGCUAAACCAUGCACCGAAGCUGCGGCAGCGACACUAUGUGUUGUUGGGUAGGGGAGCG
rnacentral:rRNA from 2 species